rnacentral:rRNA from 1 species
CGGCCUAUACUGCAAGUCGAGCGGAACAGAUGGUGCAGCUUGUCGUCCCUGAUGUUAGCGACGGACGGACGCAGUAACACGUGGUUAACAUGCCUGUAAGACUGGGAUAACUCCGGGAAACCGGAGCUAAUACCGGAUGCUUGAUUGAACCGCAGGGUUCAAUUAUCCACGGUGGCUCUUACCUACCACUUACCCAUGGACCGACGACGCAUUAGCUAGUUGGUGAGGUAACGGCUCACCAAGGCAACGAUGCGUAUCCGACCUGAGAGGGUGAUCGGCCACACUGGACACUGAGACACGGCCCAGACUCCUACGGGAGGCAGCAAUUAGGGAAUCUUCCGCAAUGGACGAAAGUCUGACGGAGCAACGCCGCGUGAGUGAUGAAGGUUUUCGGAUCGUAAAACUCUGUUGUUAGGGAAGAACAAGUACCGUUCGAAUAGGGCGGUACCUUGACGGUACCUAACCAGAAAGCCACGGCUAACUACGUGCCAGCAGCCGCGUAAAUACGUAGGUGGAAAGCGUUGUCCGGAAUUAUUGGGCGUAAAGCGCGCGCAGGCGGUUUCUUAAGUCUGAUGUGAAACCCCCCGGCUCAACCGGGGAGGGUCAUUGAAAACUGGGGAACUUGAGUGCAAAAAAGAAUAGUGGAAUUCCACGUGUAGCGGUGAAAUGCGUAGAGAUGUGAAGAAACACCAGUGGCGAAGGCGACUCUCUGGUCUGUAACUGACGCUAAGGCGCGAAAGCGUGCGGAGCGAACAGGAUUAGAUACCCUGGUAGCUCCACGCCGUAAAACAAUGAGUGCUAAAGUGUUAGAGGGUUUCCCCCCCUUUUAUGUGCUGCAGCAAAACGCCUUAAUGCACUCCCGCCUGGGGAAUACGGUCGCAGGACUGAAAUCUCAAAAGGAAAUUGACGAGAGGCCCCCCAAAAAAACCGUUUGGAAAGCAUGUGG